UGGGGAAUAUUGCACAAUGGGCGCAAGCCUGAUGCAGCCAUGCCGCGUGUGUGAAGAAGGCCUUCGGGUUGUAAAGCACUUUCAGCGAGGAGGAAGGGUUCAGUGUUAAUAGCACUGUGCAUUGACGUUACUCGCAGAAGAAGCACCGGCUAACUCCGUGCCAGCAGCCGCGGUAAUACGGAGGGUGCAAGCGUUAAUCGGAAUUACUGGGCGUAAAGCGCACGCAGGCGGUUCGUUAAGUCAGAUGUGAAAUCCCCGCGCUUAACGUGGAACUGCAUUUGAAACUGGCAAGCUAGAGUCUUGUAGAGGGGGGUAGAAUUCCAGGUGUAGCGGUGAAAUGCGUAGAGAUCUGGAGGAAUACCGGUGGCGAAGGCGGCCCCCCUGGACAAAGACCUGACGCUCAGGUGCGAA
rnacentral:rRNA from 1 species